rnacentral:rRNA from 1 species
CUACGUGCCAGCAGCCGCGGUAAUACGUAGGUCCCGAGCGUUGUCCGGAUUUAUUGGGCGUAAAGCGAGCGCAGGCGGUUAGAUAAGUCUGAAGUUAAAGGCUGUGGCUUAACCAUAGUACGCUUUGGAAACUGUUUAACUUGAGUGCAAGAGGGGAGAGUGGAAUUCCAUGUGUAGCGGCGAAAUGCGUAGAUAUAUGGAGGAACACCGGUGGCGAAAGCGGCUCUCUGGCUUGUAACUGACGCUGAGGCUCGAAAGCGUGGGGAGCAAACAGGAUUAGAUACCCUGGUAGUCCACGCCGUAAACGAUGAGUGCUAAGUGUUGGAGGGUUUCCGCCCUUCAGUGCUGCAGUUAACGCAUUAAGCACUCCGCCUGGGGAGUACGACCGCAAGGUUGAAACUCAAAGGAAUUGACGGGGGCCCGCACAAGCGGUGGAGCGUGUGGUUUAAUUCGAAGCAACGCGAAGAACCUUACCAGGUCUUGACAUCCCUCUGACCGCUCUAGAGAUAGAGUUUUC